AUUGCAAUGGCAUAGUGGUCUGAGUGUUGGACUAUGAUUCUGAAGACCAGGGUUCAAUUCCCUACUCAGCCAUG